AUCAAAUUUUUUCACAAAGCAAACAUUCUCUAUUUGGGAGAAAAAUAUAUUCCAGUGUCAUAGGUUUACUAGCCCUUCCCUAGAACUGAAGAUGUUUAGUUCUAGAUGGAUUUCCCGGUGCUGAGCCAAUGAGAAGCUGUAGUACCACCUCUGCGAAUGACAUAUUUAAGUAGCCAGAAGAGAAGGCUUGUGGUGCAGAAGAAAUUAGAGAUAUGAAGGUGGUAGAGGGGCCACCAGGCCCCACGGGGGCCAGGCCCACCCCCCCAUCCCCGCCCUGGCCCAGGGGCAGACGCAACACCGGAGCUGAGCCAGGCCCCUGGAUGAGGUGUGCAGCAGAGCUCAGAAGAAAUUCCAGACAGUGAGAGAGAAACUGCCCUGGAGUUCUCCGGCUGGCCUCGCUGCCUCCCCCCACCGCAGGGGAGGGGUGGUAGCAGGAUGGAGUGGCAGCAACGCACGACCCGGAGUGGAGCGGGCCCGGAGCAGGCCUGGAGUGGCAACAGCAGAUGGCAUGAAGCGUGCCAGGAGCAGAGUAGAGCGAAGAAGAGAAACACAGCCAGGACAGCUACCACUGCCUCUCGAAUUUGCAACAGAGAGAGAGAGAAGGCACGCUGAAGCAGGUCGAUUCUGGGUGGGAAUCUGGUGAAAAUUAUCAGGGUAUAAAGAGGCUGACCUGAACCCCAGAACCUGCGUCCAGGGGGGAGGGGUAGACCCGACUUGGAGGGGUCCCUUCAGAGCUUGCUCCCCUGGGAGGGACACCAAGGAACAAGGAAAAGACUCAGAGCUUUAACUCCCUGAAACCCAUGGUGAAAGUCAUGACAUAGCGAGUUGUCCCCUCGCAGCCCAUGAAAGGACAUCGGGGGGUGCAGAUACCCCCUCUCGCCCCGAUUGGAAGGAAGACUUGAGCUAUUGCCCUGAGAGUUUCUCCUCCUGCAUUGGCCAGGGGGCUGAGGGGUGGUAAAAGUGUGUUUAAUACUGUGUAUUUUAUUACUUUUUAGUUUCUAUUCUGUUAGCAAUAAAUUUUAAUAUUAUUCCUCACAUCGAGUCUGUCUUGCCUGUUGUGAAACCUCUCUCAAUUUGUAACAAUUUUGUGGAAGUUUGAAAAUACAGCCAGAGUAAACCCAUGACAUCCAGCACUGUUUAACUGACACUUUCAACAGAAUGUAGUCAAGUUCAUUUGUUUCUUUUGCUACUGGAUAAGACUGUACACCCCAAAAGUUUCUAAGAUAUCCUUCGACAGAAAGCCAGAAUACAGGAGCAUGCUGGAACAUCAUACAGCUCCAAAAAAUUGUCUCAGGUCUGGAGCAAAGCCCCAACACCAAGCCCAGACUGAAAUUCUUCACUUCACUGAGGGAUCAAAACAUCACAUCUAUCUCUAAAGGGCUGAUUUACUGACAUAAUGAGUGCAAUGGAGAUUAAGCAUGCAUGGUGUGGGUGCUCUAAAACCGCGUGAAAAAUCUAAUUCAGUAAUAACACAGUCCCUGCUGACAACGUCUUAUGAGAAACCUGUUAAAAAUAUUUUAGAUUUAAAAUGUCCAUGUCUAGACAUCUACAUUCUUAUGAAAUUUGCCUUGCAUGUAUCUGCAUAUAAUUAAAAUUUGGACUUAAAUGAAAUUACAUAAAAGUAACCAGCAGCUUUUAAAUUAUAAAUGC